rnacentral:rRNA from 1 species
CUGCCAGUGAUAAGCUGGAGGAAGGUGGGGANGANGUCAAGUCCUCAUGGCCCUUAUGUGUUGGGCUACACACGUGCUACAAUGGUACUUACAAUGAGAAGCAAAGACGCAAGUCCUAGCCAAUCUCUAAGAUGUACCUCAGUUCGGAUUGUACUCUGUAACUCGAGUGCAUGAAGCUGGAAUUGCUAGUAAUCGCGGAUCAGUGCGCCGCGGUGAAUACGUUCCCGGGUCUUGUACACACCGCCCGUCACACCAUGGAAGUUGGUUACACCUUAAGGCAAAGCUUAUACCUUUGACUACGGUACGAUCAGCAACUGGGGUGAAGUCGUAACAAGGUAGCC